rnacentral:lncRNA from 1 species
AAGGUGACCUCACUUGUUGAAGCCAAGUGUGAAGGGAAAUGAUUUGAACAUGGACUUGUCAUUCUCUAAACUGUCCAUGAGUCUUUAGGAAAUAUUCUACAACUCUAUUUUUUAUGUCUUUGGCUUUUCCAUAAUAAAAAAGAAAACGCGAAUUUUUACAGUAAACCAAGCAGUAGCCAUACCUACGGGUCUACGCCCACCUCUCCAGUCUCAUCCAUCCCAGCACUUUGCUAAUCCGAGCUCAGGCUGUGGCUACAUUUGUCUUCUCUGAGCACAGUAAGUUCUUUGUCCAGAGACAAGGGGAGAGGAUCAGUAUCUGAGGGUAGUGUGGCAGGAAGUUUCCCCAAAUGUAUGAAAGCAUCAGACAUGAAAGGACGCUGUUGUUUUCUGUGUCUGUUUUCUACUCAGUGCAGCACGCCCACCUUGGUCCAUGGCGAUCUGAUGCCCCAAAGUCAAUCUAAAUUCACAGCUGACCCCCUGUGGUUGGGCACUUCAACUGAGAAAACCUCAGACACACCGUGAAUGAUGCCCUCCUGUGUGGGUGACCCUAGACACCAGCAGUAGCAAGGCUGCAGCAGGAUUGAUGGAGGGCAAGGCCAGCAGAGAGUCUCGGUGGUUACCCAAAUGCACUAUGUUCUCAAAUAGUUUUACUGCAAGACAAAUAGAAACAGACAUACAGACAUGGUGACUAGAUGUAACAAAACGAUGGCUUGCAGAGAGAACCAUCUGAGAAAUUUGCAGAUGGGGGUGAAAGAACAGAGAAAACUGCAAGCCAGGGUGUUUUAUGUCCUCAGGUGUUCCUACAUAGGGACACACACACACAGACACACAAACAUAUAUAUACACUUACACAGACACACAGUCACAGACAUACAAACACACACACACACACGUGUGUGCACACACAUACAUAUGCACACACACACAGAUACACACACACAUGUGUGCACACACAUACACAUGCACACACACAUAGAUACACACAUACAGAUGCGCACACAGAUACACGCCAAUACACACAAACGCAGACACACAGAUACACACAGAGACACACACAGACAGACAUGCACACACGGCCCACUGUAGAAGUGUGGCCUUAAGCAGGACAAGACAAAGGACACAUUGCACAUGUACUGCUGAGUGCUGAGUCAUGAAGAUGUUUGUAAGGCUUUGUCCCCGUUCUCCUCACCUUGGCAAGAAUCGACGGUCCCUAGACCCCAGAAUAGCUCCACAUGUGACUCCCAGCUGACUGGGACGCAGACCGCACCUGGCAUGGUGAGCAUGGAGCAUUCCCAAAAAAGUGAUGACCCAGAAUCCAUCGUCCUGCCAGAAUCAGGUCAGAGGAACUUAAGGGGAGAAAUCUGCCGCCUGAAACAUCUUUAUUUAUGCACCCCCCACGUGGUUGGUUUCAAACCAUGAUAGAAGGUUGGUGAAGAGCAGGGUUGUAGUCCCGGGGGUAGAGCGAAUACCCAGCAUGCCCUUGGUUAGAUUUCCUGUACUGCACAAUAAGAGCAGGAAGAAAGGGGGAAAGAAAAAGAGUUGUGUAGGGAGCGCUAGUUUAAAUUGUGUGCAGGUCUACAGAACUUCCAGCAGGUGGCAGUGUUUACAAAUAUUAUGAUGCCACAAAGUCACCACAGCUAAUUUCCAAAUAGAGGUGUCCAAGAAGGGGAUUUGGUUCUCGGUUGAGCCCAGAGCCAUCCCUCAGAUGCGCCCUUCACUGCCACCAAACAAGAGCCUUUAAGCUUUGGCUAAAGCUGCCUUUCCGGCUACUGUACCAUUGUCUUUGGAAUGUGCUGUGUCACCAUUUGCAGAUAAUUUUUUCCUGUGGGGCUGCCCUACAAAUCACAGAUCAAGAAUACUGGCUUUGGGUUCCCUGUAGCCCAGGCUGGUCUCAGACUCACUACGUAGCCAAGGAUGGCAUGGAGCUUCAACUUCUGAUCCUCCUGCCUCCACUUCUCCAAGGCUGGAGUUGAAGGUGUAUCCACCAUUCUUGGUUUAAUGCGGUGCUAGGACAAGAACCCAAGAUUUGGUACAUUAGAGGUGGACACUCUACCAACUGAGCUAUGAUGCACUCCACGCCUCAAAUACCUACCCCCAGGGUUUCAUGUGCCUGAGCUGGCUUUGACCUCACUCUGCAGCCAUGGACAAUCUUGCACCACUGAUCCUCCUGACUCUCCUUCUUAAAUAGGUGCUGGGAUUACAGCUAUGUAACAGCAGAUCAGUUUAUGAAUCAAACCCAGGGCUUCCAACAUGCGGAGCAAGCUUGUUACCACCUGAGCUACAGCUCAACCCCAUUUUUGCUACUCUUUUUGAAAGCUAGUGUGACGUAUUUAGUGUGUUGAUACAUGGUUGCAAGUAUGCAGAUCACGGGUGUAGGAUACCACAGAGUCUCACACAGCAAACAUCGUCUACAGAUAAAACUCAUCUCCAGAGAAUGAGCCUUGCUGGACAGCCCGUUGUGACCAACUUUCAUCAGAACGCCCGCCAUCCUGGCUUCUUACAGCAGCCAUCCACAUGUACUUUAAAAAUGGUUACUCAGAGUGUAACUAUUAGUUACUUUUCUACUACGUGAUGAAACAUCAGGACCAAGACAGCUGAUGGAAGGAAGGAUGUAUCCAUCCUCAUCACAGUGGGAGGGAUCAUAGCAGGCAGCAGGCAGCAGGCAGCAGGCAGCAGGCACAGCACUGAAAGCAACAUCUGAACAGGAAGCAGAGUGAGCGAACUCACAUUAGCCAGAGUCUUAAGGUAUAAAUAACAUCAAUUAAUGAGGUGCUCAUUCUUAUCAUUUGCCUCCAAUAAGCCAUUCCUCUUCCUCCUUUCCUGUGUGUGCAUCAUGUUAGUAAACCCCAGUUCUCCUCUAAGGAAAGGUUCAGUAACUCUCCCCCAUUCACAAACAAACCUUAAUCGUGAAAAUGGCAAUGGAACAAAUGACAUGAAUGACAUGAGGGAAAUGAAACUCUGACCUAACCUGUCCAGCACCAUCUUCUUCCUCAGGGUUACUCGGGCACUUUUAAAGGAUGCUAACAGGCUGGCUGUGUACAAGCCACAUCUGACUGCCCGUGAAAAGGUCUGGGAAAUGUUUGAACUUCUGGGGUUCUCCUGGUCUAGUGCGAGGACAGAGAGUAGUGACCCACACCUGUAGCCGCAGCCCGUGGAAGGUGAAACUCAGAAUCCGAAUCCGAAUCACAUCCCUGACUACAUGGAAUGCGCCAGAAGGGCAGCCCUCAGGAUGCUGGGAAGCAAGGAACAAAAAAGUUUUACUAAUAAAGUGAGAGGUGAACAUAGGAUCCAUCAAUGGAUGCUGAGGAUGUGGGAAUAGAGAAGCAACUGAUGCAGGAUUGUUUCUUCAACAACAACAACAACAGCAACAACAACAACAACAGGGCCCCUUAUAACCUAGGGUGGCCUCAGAUUUGCCAUGUAGCUAAGGCUCACCUUGGAUGUCUGAUCUGUUUGCCUCCUGCCCUGAAGGCUGGGGUUACAAGUGUGCACUACCACGCCUUGUUUAUGCAGUGCUGGGCUCACACCUGGGGCGUCAUGCAGCUUGUGCUCUGUCCUGUUACUGCCCCUCACCUUGGUGCAUUUGUAAGUGUGAAUGACUCUGACUCCGCAACUUGGCCUUUCCUCCUCCUGGCUGCUGGGACACUCACCUAGGAGACACCUGUCUCAGGUUGCUCUGAUAUG